ensembl:antisense Plxna4os3 plexin A4, opposite strand 3
AGCAUCACAAAAGGAGCCUGGGAAUGGGCAAGGAUGAGUCCAAGGCAGACCAUAUUGCCGUAGCCUCUUACUACAUGCCCAAGUGGGAAUUUUUUCAGGCCCAGCAGUGGCAUCACAGAGCUGGAUCAGUUCACUGAGGCCGUGCUGGCCUUUAGAGCUCCUGUUGCCCUAUGCCUUACUCUACAGUGCACUCGGUUAUUAUGCUUAUUGUGUGACCUCUUCCUGGAAUGUAGAAACCUUUAUUAAAACGUAUCUCUUGAACCCUUGAA